AAUACAAGGAAUUCUCUUCCAAAAAUGUUCUCUUCUCAGUGCUGACUUUGGUAAGAACUCCAGUUGGGAAGGAAGAUGUGAGGUGCGCUAAUUAAAGGCAAGAUGGUCUCAGAGAAGGAGAGCUUUUUCCCACUAGGCACCAGCCUCUGCAGGACCAAAUUGACAGCUCUUUAAAGGCGUCUGACGAAAAGCAGCAUUAAUUAAGUCAUUGCCGGACUGUAAUUGUGUUAAGAAGUAAAAAUCUAAUAUGAGAAAAGCCCAAGAAGUAGAGGAAGUCUGUCUGCAGUUAACUCUGGCACAUCCAGCUGGAUUACAGCCCCAACCCCCAGCAACAGCAACAGGUGGUAGUACCUGAGCCCCUUGCCCCUGCUACUCAGGAUGAGGAGACUGCACCUUACCAGAGAAGAGAGAGGGGAGGCCCUCAUGGGUGCUCGUUGAUUUAUCCAGUGGAUAUCAGAGUGGAGAUGGCCACAGAGAUGCAGAGAAAGAGUCUGGAUGGUGAGGAGGCCGGAGAUGAUUCACCCACAGCUGUGCCGUAUGGGUAAGUUAAGGGAGCUCUUUAGAC
ensembl:lncRNA